AUUGAACGCUGGCGGCAUGCCUUACACAUGCCAGUCGAACGGCAGCACGGGUGCUUGCACCUGGUGGCGAGUGGCGAACGGGUGAGUAUUACAUCGGCACAUGUCCUGUAGUGGGGGAUAGCCCGGCGAAAGCCGGAUUAAUACUGCAUACGAUCCACGGAUGAAAGCGGGGGCCCUUCGGGCUUCGCGCUAUCGGGUUGGCCGAUGGCUGAUUAGCUAGUUGGUGGGGUAAAGGCCUACCAAGGCGACGAUCAGUAGCUGGUCUGAGAGGACGACCAGCCACACUGGGACUGAGACACGGCCCAGACUCCUACGGGAGGCAGCAGUGGGGAAUUUUGGACAAUGGGCGAAAGCCUGAUCCAGCAAUGCCGCGUGUGUGAAGAAGGCCUUCGGGUUGUAAAGCACUUUUGUCCGGAAAGAAAUCCUUGACUCUAAUACAGUCGGGGGAUGACGGUACCGGAAGAAUAAGCACCGGCUAACUACGUG
rnacentral:rRNA from 1 species